AACGAACGCUGGCGGCGCGUCUUAAGCAUGCAAGUCGAACGGGAUCCACGCGCUUGCGCGUGGUGAGAGUGGCGGACGGGUGAGUAACGCGUGGAUAACCUGCCUCACACAGGGGGAUAGCAGCUGGAAACGGCUGGUAAUACCGCAUAAGACCACGACCCCGCAUGGGGUUGUGGUAAAAGAUUUAUCGGUGUGAGAUGGAUCCGCGUCUGAUUAGCCAGUUGGCGGGGUAACGGCCCACCAAAGCGACGAUCAGUAGCCGGCCUGAGAGGGUGAACGGCCACAUUGGGACUGAGACACGGCCCAAACUCC
rnacentral:rRNA from 1 species